AGGGAAGUAAUUAAUCUGAUAUCCCUAAUUAAUAGGGAGGAUACAGAUGCAAACGAUAUUUAAUCUGAAUAGAGAGGGUCACAGUACAGUUUCUCAGAGCGCAGAGUUGUCAUCAUAACUUAUCUGAAUUUAUCUGUCCAGUGCUCAGUGAUUGCCAUCACACAAAAAUUCAUAACUUAUUUGAUUUCACAUAAAAAGCCACAGCUCACUCCCUGUAAUCUGUUGAAAGCCGAGAAUGCUGAAGAGCGAGAAAGUUGUCAUCUUCUGCGUCCUACUUUUGGGAUUUUCCUUGAGGGCGGACGCAGCAAUUUCCUGGAAAGCUCUUAUAAAAAAGGGGAUGGAGGUCCUUUUCACUGGGGCGGUCGUCGCUGGGGUUGACGCGACUCUGGAAGCUAACAAACCGGAUGGGAAACAACUGGUGGUGUACCCCGCGCCGUUUCAGCCGCAGCCACAGCCAAACCAUGAUGAGAGGGGCCUGGGUUUAACACUGUUCAUAACUGGUUCAUUUAUUACCUGCAUAGGAAUAAUAGGAUUAAUGUGCAGUUUUCUUUUCAAGUGUAUUAAGUGUAAACAGGUUCGAGACAAUAAUCCAAUCAACAUUGAAUUGGGAAAUAUGGCUUAAAUCUAUAACUAUUUAGCUAUACAUACAUUCAUUUACAAUUUAUACAGAUUAUUUUAAUCAUAUUCUAAUGGAAAUUUAACUACUUAUUCAAAUUAGACAACUUAUAUUAUGCAAUCAUUUUCUUACUCAUGCAAUUAUGAACUCACUUAACAAAAUCGUUAAAGUAGAACUCACUUUAAAAUAUUAGUAUUUUUAAUUAAAUAUUAAUUAUUUUAUUUUAUUUAUAUUACUUAAAUUAUUAUUAUGUAACUCUAUGGGCCUCGGCCUGGAAGGGUUUAGGAUUCAAAUAAAAAUACAAAAAAAUACAAAAUACAAUACUACCAAUCACCACCAUCAUGAAUAUUUAUAGAUGUGCUAUGAUAAUUACGCAAAUUAUCUUAAUUUAAUUUGCUUCCAUUGCGGACAGACAUUCGAAGUGGGAUAUUUAGCGCCCGGCGGGAGCCGGGCUUAUACGCUAGUAUUAUAUAGUACCAACGACAUCCGCAGAAAUUCUUCUAUCAGAAUUCCAAGAAGCGGUUUCAUGAAUCAUAAAUUAUGGUUAGCUAAUGAAAGCUACCUACAUACAUAAAGUAAAAAUUACAUAUUAUGGUCAGAGUACAAACGAUUCCUUCAAUUUUACAAAGUGAAGUAAUGCAGCAAUACAUACGUUGGUAAGUACAGGGUUUGAUAGGACAUACAUAACAUGAUACACAAACAAACAUUACAUUGAAUUAAACUAAAUGCUACUCAGUAAUUCUUUUUAACCCUUUCCUUCGUAACGAUGGAUAUAUCUGUCGCCGAAUUUCGAACGUUGCUGCGGAACAAUGGAAAUAUCCGUCGUCAUAAACUUUGCGUUGUGACGGAACAGAGGAUAUUUCCAUCCUAAUUUCUAAGGCGUUGCGACGGAGCAACGGAUUUAUCCGUUGUCUCAAAAUUGGGCUUAGAUACGGAAAGAAGGAAAUAUCCUUUCCUCUGGUCACUGACUUUAUUACGUAGUGAAGGAUAUUUCCUCUCAUUGAAAAAAUAUUUUUUCCAUGGAUUUACGCAUCCUGAAAAAAAUUCGAUUUUUAGCCCGAGUCAGGGGCUAUGUAUGUAUGCACGUCCGGUGUGUCUCUGCCUGUCUGGUUAUCAAUAACUCUCGUAAAUCUAUCCUAUUGACUUUAAAUUUUUACUCUUACUUUGUCAUUUUUAAUUUCCUAAAAUUUCAAGUUGAUAGAAUAAGUUUCACGAAGGUCAAGACGCAAUACGGACGGAUGGACAACACGGGUACAUAAGUCCUGGGUCGGGCUUAAAUGUCUCCAUGAUUACGUCAUUUUUGAAAUGAAAUGCCUCCAUAGAAAGUUGAAUAAUUUUGGAACUAUAUCCAUGGAACAUAUCACUAAAAUUUACACUUGCUCCGUGAUAUAGCUUUGGUAAUUCAAAAAUUGCUACGCCACAAGCUAUGGUUGUGAGGCGUUGCUAUUCCGCAGCAACGGGAUAUUUUUGAGAAUUCUCUUACGAAGGAAAAGGUUAAUGAUUUCUUGGAAAUUUGACCAGUCAGCGCACUCAAGUCACGGGGUGAAAUCGAAUGAAAUACCAUGAAACACUUUUAGAUCAACAAGUAAACUUUCAAUCUUGAGCAUCCCUUCACAGCAACAACAACCAUGCUUAAAUUAAGCAUUUCCGAAGCUGAUCCCAAAUAUAAGAGAUGUCACGGCGAAUUGGGCGGAGAAGCGAGUCGACGGACCGGUGUGGUACUUAUGCCAAGGUGACAACGACACAAUCCCGAACAAAAAGCGAAGUUCGAUUAAAAGUUGGAACUGAGAAAAGGAGAGAGAAAUUCGCUCCUGGCUUUGAGAUUAGUGAGGAAGGGCCCAGUUUAUCUUAUCGAGCUUAAAUAACGCCUGCCAAGGCAGAAGCAGCAAUGGAGUUGACAUAUAAAAAGAACAAGAUGAAAGCUGGUCCUGUUACUUGGACGUCUGGAUUUGGUUUGGGAACUGAUGUUGGGGUCAAAUUUUGGCCCCCCAAAGCGUCCGCCCAUUUCCUAGGCACGGGAGUUAAAGCUGGUUGGAGUGGACUGGAAGUAACUGCUUUUGGUAAUGGGGUCAAUGUUAAAAAUCCAAUCGCACAGUGGUUUUCGACAGAUAAGGAAACCCAAAAGAAACGAGGGGAAAGAAAACAAUAUCAUUAUUCGGUAGAUUGUGAACUCGUGGAAUAAAUUUAAUUGAAAUAGGAAUAAUGAGUAUGAGUACUUAUGAAAAUAUGAAAAUCCGAGCUCACUAGUUUUCAUAAUGUUUAUGCAUUUUUGGUUCUGAUUGUGUAGUAAACCAUGUACAAAUUUUCCUUCCCAAUAAAAAAUGUUACUAUAUUCAUAA